GCUGGGCGUGGUGGUGGGCAUCUGUAAUCCCAGCUACUUGGGAGGCUGAGGCAGGAGAAUCACUUGAAACCAGGAGGUAGAGGUUGUAGUGAGCCAAGAUUGCCCCACUGCACUCCAGUCUGGGUGACAGAGCGAGACUCUGUCUCAAAAAAAAAGGAAAAAAAAAAGAAAGAGAUGAGGUCUCACUCUGCACCCAGACUGGAGUAUAACUGGCGCUAUUGUAGCUCACUGUAGCCUUGUACUCCUGGGCUCAAGUGAUCCUCCUGCCUCA
ensembl:misc_RNA Metazoa_SRP Metazoan signal recognition particle RNA